CCCUACGGGAGGCAGCAGUGGGGAAUAUUGCACAAUGGGGGGAACCCUGAUGCAGCGACGCCGCGUGGGUGAAGGAGUAUUUCCGUAUGUAAAGCCCUAUCAGCAGGGAAGAACAAUGACGGUACCUGACUAAGAAGCACCGGCUAAAUACGUGCCAGCAGCCGCGGUAAUACGUAUGGUGCAAGCGUUAUCCGGAUUUACUGGGUGUAAAGGGAGCGUAGACGGCAUGGCAAGUCAGAUGUGAAAGCCCGGGGCUCAACCCCGGGACUGCAUUUGAAACUGUCAGGCUGGAGUGCAGGAGAGGG
rnacentral:rRNA from 1 species